rnacentral:misc_RNA from 1 species
UCGGUUGGUUGAUUGGUGGUCCUAUUUCAUAUCAAGCUAAACAAGUAAUUUGCAAUCAUUCAGUUAUCAAUGAUAACCUCCCAACUACAAACAAAAUUAACAAUUUAUUAACAAAAUUUAGGAAGCUAGAAGAGCUUCACCAUAAAACAAUUCAAAGCGAAGCAAAAUUAGCCUGUGAGAACCACUUUCGGUCUCACACUUCACGGCUUCCUUCAGGCAGGUCUAGUGUCAGGCUUCCAUUACGCAAUUCACCUGAUUGUCUAGGUGAAACAUAUAACUUAGCAAAAGGGCGAUUAUUCAAUUUAGAAAAACGUUUCAAAAAAUAUGUUUCAUUAAAAUCUCAAUACAUACAGUUUAUGAGAGAAUAUCAAAGUUUAGGUCAGCAGAGAUCUAUUCCAAUAGCAAACGCAAUUUUGUAGGAGCGGCAAGAGAGCUCAGUAAAUUCACCGAUAUACAAAACAUCGCGUUAACUGAAUUUACAGCUCAGCAAAGCAUCAAAAUUUAAAUUCAUUCUGUCUUACGCUCCUCACUUCGGCGACAUAUGGGAGGCCGGUGUGACCGGCAAAAUAUCAUAUCAACAAUGCAUCACACAAACAAACAUAUAUAUAAUAUAUAAACGAGUCAUGGGAGUUCUCAUUUAACUUUUGAAGAAAUUUUAACUUUUAAGGCAAUUCUAACUUUGUUUGCACGAGUGGAGGCUACUUUGAAUAGUCGUCCCUUGUGCCCAUUAUCCAUGUUCCCUUGACGAUUUCCUUUUCCUUUCCCCAGGGCACUUCUUAAUCAGAAGACCACUAAAUGAGCUGCCGGCUCCCGCCUUGGAGAAUGAAGGGGAACUACAAUUAAAACGCUACGCACGUCUCAAGCAAAUCAUACAACAAAAUGAAGACAAGACUAAGCUAAAGUAUUUAUAUGAACUGUGAGUGCAAUAGACAAUCAGUGAUGUGACAGAACGUUGGGUAUAUAAGACAGUGAUUUGACAUUUAAACCCUCUUUCCCAUAUUUCUUCUCGUCGUACGAAGUGUUUGCAUAAUAAUGUAAUUUGUAAUACAGCAAUCUAUUCUCUUCAAUCUUUCAUUUUCUCCAACUCUUCAAACAACAA